UACGAAGGGGGCUAGCGUUGCUCGGAAUCGCUGGGCGUAAAGCGCACGUAGGCGGCUUUUUAAGUCAGGGGUGAAAUCCUGGAGCUCAACUCCAGAACUGCCUUUGAUACUGAGAAGCUUGAGUCCGGGAGAGGUGAGUGGAACUGCGAGUGUAGAGGUGAAAUGCGUAGAUAUCGGGAAGAACACCCGUGGCGAAGGCGGCUCUCUGGGACGGUACUGACGCUGAGACGCGAAAGCGUGGGGAGCGAACAGG
rnacentral:rRNA from 1 species